CGGCGACCGGCGCACGGGUGAGUAACACGUAUCCAACCUGCCCUUUACUCGGGGAUAGCCUUUCGAAAGAAAGAUUAAUACCCGAUAGCAUAAUGAUUCCGCAUGGUUUCAUUAUUAAAGGAUUCCGGUAAAGGAUGGGGAUGCGUUCCAUUAGGUUGUUGGUGAGGUAACGGCUCACCAAGCCUUCGAUGGAUAGGGGUUCUGAGAGGAAGGUCCCCCACAUUGGAACUGAGACACGGUCCAA
rnacentral:rRNA from 1 species